UUUUUUUUUCUGUUUUGUGAUUUUAUUGUCAUGAUUACAUGAUUUUCAUAUAACACUGAUGUCGUUUAAAUACCUAAACUUGUGAAAUAUAAAAACAUAUAAAACCACCAACCGGAAAAUAAGUGCUUCUUUUAUAACCUUCAUUUUCUCAGCAGUCCAGAACCAAUGGAGCAAAUUAACAAUUAUUGGUAACCAAAUAAAACAUGUUUCCAUACAAACAAUAAAUUUAUAUGUAACGCAUACAAGUAUUAGGAAGGUAUAAUUGUUGUGAUUUUUAUAUUCCAGCUUGCAAUGUAACUAUAUGGGAAGCAAAAGCCAGCCCAGAACCUAUGCUAAAAAGUUGAAAAUUAAUUUCAUUUGACUCUUCAUUAACAAUCACUAAACAUAUUGUGUUUUUUAAAGGUUGUGUGAGAAAUCAACAACUUUUAUUUUUGGAAAACUGUCAACAAAUAUAAGCUUUAAAAAGUGUAUACACAAAGACUUCAAAUUGCUUUUAAGUGCGACUUCAGACAUUUAAAAAUGAUCAUUUUGUCCAUUUGCGGCUUACACAAUAUUUGACAUUUGACCAACACACAUCAUGCAAUAAGAAACUAGAUUAUUUACUUAGUUUUCUUUCAGACUACUUUAACUGAAAUAAAUUUUUCCUCAGGUUAUUAGAGAAAUCCAUCAAUUCAGACAACUCAGCCAGGCCCACAGUACACAAUAUCAUAAGUAAAGAAAACCAGUUUAUUGGAAAAAACCAAAAAACGAAAACCCUUUCUGGAUUAGAAGAAACAUAAAGCAUGGCAGUCUUACAAAACAGAAGGAAAUUAUAAAACUCUUUUAAAAGAUAGGUAAAUGAAGGAAAAAAUGUCAACAUACGAAAACUGUGAAUUGCAUUUUGAGUUGCACAGAUUCAAAGGAUGAUUGGUUUGAUCAUGAUUUUUUUUUUAUGUUAUUUUACUGGGGGGGGGGUUGUUGUUAUUUCCCCAAGCAUACACUCUUUUAUUUAAAACAAUCAAGUAUCUUUACGUUUGUAAUUUUUUAUAUUUUUGUGGGAAAUGGGACCGAUCGCGAAUGACGUCACUGUUGCCCGGAUGUUGGGACAAACAAAGCACAAAUAGAAUGGCGGCGUCAGUUGAGCUUCGUUUCAAUAUUUUUCAACACAGAAGCAUCGUGUGGAGAAACUUACAUGAUGGCUGAAACGCAGAGGACUCAAAGUGAGGGGGGUAAAGGCAGCAUUAGUUGAAAGAUAGCCUUUUUUCUGACUACCGAAAGUGUGGUAGCUAACAUUUGCUAGCACUAAGUUACAUUUAAGUUCAUUUGCAAUCGGUGUAGGUUAUUUGCAGUUGACAUACAGCUAUUGGUGAACUUAAAAUUGUACAUCCUAGUAACCUAAAUCAGUCGAUCACCAACAAAAUCAGCUGUUCUUAGGUACAGAUGUUUUCCCUCAGACACAGCUUAUGCCUCUGCUUUAGCUAAGCUAAAAUGGCAGCGCUGUGUUCCGUUUUAAAAUUAGGAGUAUGACGCCAUUUGCAGUCAGUGUCAUUAACCUUGGGAGAAAGACAAAAAAAAUGCCCUAUUUCUUUGUACAUCAAACUACUUUCUGUUUUAUUUUCAGUAUGCAGCUAAAACAUGAUUAUUCAUGCAGUUAAAUCAAUCAGCUUUGCUUAUUUGUACGCUUUUUCAAAUAAGCAAACCUGCUGUGGUUGCUUAAAAUUCAGGUUGGUGGGAGCAAAACAUAAAGAAAAAUACAGAAGAUGAUUAGAGACACUAAAAAAA